AAACUGCGAUAAGUAGUGUGAAUUGCAUUUAGUGAAUCAUCGAAUCUUUGAACGCACCCUGCACUCACUGGUAUUCCGGUGAGUACGCCUGUUUCAGUAUCAUUGAAAACACACAAUCAAAACAUUUUCUUUGGUUUGAUUGGCUUUGGGUCUAUCAAAAAGUUUGGCUUGUUUCUUACAAGCCAAGCGGCCUGAAAUAUAUUGUCUGGCUAAUUGCAUCGUUGAUGAUCGCUAUUAGACUUUGGCUUUUUUAAAUGAACUGGAGGUUGAUUAACCAGUUUUAGCUUUAGUCAAAUGGUCAUUGUAAAAAAAAUCUCGAUCUUGGCUAGGUGUUUAUAGCCGAAAAUUUUUUUUUGGCUAUAACCGAAACCAAUAUAAUCACAUAUAGUUAUCGAUCUGAAAUCAGGUGGGACUACCCGCAGAACUUAAGC
rnacentral:misc_RNA from 1 species